AUGCAGCCGCAAGUCAAUUCAAAACUGAAGUAGUCUGUUGAAAUACACCAUGAAGCUUUGAGUGAAGCUCUUCCUGGGGACAUUGUGGACUUCAAUGUCAGGAAUGUGUGUGUCAAGAAUGUUCGUCAUGGCAAUGAUGCUGGUGGCAGCAAAAAUGACCCACCAAUGGAAGCAGCUGGCUUCACUGCUCAGGUGAUUAUCCUGAACCAUCCAGGCCAAAUAAGUGCUGGCUAUGCUCCUGUACUGGAUUGCCACACGGCUCACACUGCAUGCAAGUUUGGUGAGCUGAAGGAAAAGAUUGAUCGCCAUUCUGGUGAAAAGCUGGAAGAUGACCCUAAAUUCUUGAAGUCUGGUGAUGCUGCCAUAGUUUAUACGGUUUCUGGCAAGCCCAUGUGUGUAGAGAGCUUCUCAGACUAUCCACCUCUGGGUCACUUUGCUGUUGGUCAUAUGAGACAGAAAAUUGCCAUGGGUAUCAUGAAAGCAGUGGACAAGAACGCUGCUGGAGCUGGCAAGGUCACCAAGUCUGCCCAGAAAGCUCCGAAGGCUAGUGAAUAUGAUCCCUAGUACCUGCCACCCCAGUUUUAAUCAGUGGUGAAAGAACUCUCUCAGAACUUUUUUUUCCGUAUUUAAGUUUAAUAGUAAAAGAAUGGUUAAUGAUUACAAUGCAUCGUAAAACCUUCAGAAGGAGAGCAGAAUGUUUUGUG